GCGUUGGUGGUUUAGUGGUAAAAUUGAUCGUUGCCAUGAAAAGUCAGCUUGAGUAUUUCAACACCGUCCUUUCCCUGCCUCGAUCAGCCCCGGGUUCGAUUCCCGGCCGACGCA